rnacentral:rRNA from 1 species
GACGAACGCUGGCGGCGCGCUUAACACAUGCAAGUCGAACGGAAAGGCCCGGUUUUUGUUGUGUACUCCAGUUGCUAACGGGUGGAUAACGCGUGAGUCACCUGCCUGUUACGUUGGGAUAACGUCAGUAAACUUGGGCUACUACCUCUUAUUAGCGCCUGCUCCGUGGUGUGGUUUGUAUAGUUUCGGCGGUUGGGGAUGUACUCGCGGCUUAUCAGCCUGUUGAUGGGGUAGUGGCUGACGAAGUCUUCUACGGGUAGCGGGCCUGAUAGGGUGACCGGCCACAUUGGCAAGGAGAUAACGCGCAGACGCCGACGGGAGGCAGGAGUGGGGAAUAGAGGACAAUGGGAGGAAGGCUGAUGCAGCAACGACGCGUGCGGGAUGACGGCCUUCGGGUUGUAACCCGCUUUCGCCUGCGUCGAAGGGUGAGUGACGGUAAUGGGUAAAGAAGCACCGGCUAACUACGUG